rnacentral:rRNA from 1 species
ACUCCUACGGGAGGCAGCAGUGGGGAAUAUUGCACAAUGGGGGAAACCCUGAUGCAGCCAUGCCGCGUGUGUGAAGAAGGCCUUCGGGUUGUAAAGCACUUUCAGCGAGGAGGAAAGGUCAGUAGCUAAUAUCUGCUGGCUGUGACGUUACUCGCAGAAGAAGCACCGGCUAACUCCGUGCCAGCAGCCGCGGUAAUACGGAGGGUGCAAGCGUUAAUCGGAAUUACUGGGCGUAAAGCGCACGCAGGCGGUUGGAUAAGUUAGAUGUGAAAGCCCCGGGCUCAACCUGGGAAUUGCAUUUAAAACUGUCCAGCUAGAGUCUUGUAGAGGGGGGUAGAAUUCCAGGUGUAGCGGUGAAAUGCGUAGAGAUCUGGAGGAAUACCGGUGGCGAAGGCGGCCCCCUGGACAAAGACUGACGCUCAGGUGCGAAAGCGUGAGGAGCAAACAGGAUUAGAUACCCUGGUAGUC